GUGUGUGCUGGAAAGAUGAACUCUCAUGUUGGAAGAGAGACCUAGGAUCCAUGAAAUGAAGUACCUCAGGACUGACAGAGGAUCAGGACUCCUAUCCAUGACUGACAGAGAUUCCUAGGGCUUUGUUGUCAGUGAAGGACACGACUUCCCUUGGGACAAACAACUGACAGAAGAAAUAACUUUUCAGUAGCAACAAGGACGGAUACUUGAGCUGCAGUGCUGGAAGCAAAGCGAUUGCAACAGCAAACAUGAGCUUCUGAAUCCAGUAACCUUCUGGCCAGAUUGAAGACGACCUGUUUGGCAGGAUUUUUAAAGAGAGAUUUUCUCUUUGAUUUGCCCACAUCCUCCUGAUGCUGAAGUAUCCAAAAGAGAGGAGAGGAAAGUGAUUGCAGAAGCAAGAUAAACUUGGAACGUAGGAAGCUGCGGUUGAAUUAUUUUAUGGAGGGCUGCUGAAAGAGAGGGUGUAUGGAAGAAAGGAGAGACUGCAGCAGAAAGUGCUUGCAGUUUUCCUUGUGCCUUUGCUGGGAUGCAGGGGACAGCUGACACAGCAGCAGCAGCAGCAGGAAGAGCAAACAAGGAGCAAUCUCAUCCGGUGCUCUGCUCUGCUGCUGCUGUCAGUUUUCGUGCUGACUUAACCUAGCAGGAAAUCCAAGAAAAAUAAGAAUGGAAAAUGGAGAGAAAGCUUCAUCAAGAUGUGCAGAAGGUGCAUGCAUGUAGACCUAGCUGAGGGCGUCAGGAUUUUGGAAGAACAAAAAACAUGGCAAGAGCUGGACGUUGUGAGUACACUGCAAGGUCCUUCAGCUCUGGAGUCUGGACUCAAAACACUCCCACAACCAUGGCUGAGCUCUUGGCUGGGGCUCCUGCUGUCUGAGGAACCCAAGCAGGGAGGUAAGGCUAAAGGCGAGAUCCCGUUACGGCCAUGGCAGAAAACCAAAGCAAAACAGCAGUUAGGACUACAUGAAUGACGACUCCUGUAUCUGCAGGCUGAAUGGCUGUGUGUAUUUUGGGCUCAUUAAAAUGUCUGAG
ensembl:lncRNA